UACGAGGGGGGCGAGCGUUGUUCGGAAUUAUUGGGCGUAAAGGGUGCGUAGGCGGCCUGACAAGUCUGAUGUGAAAUCCCUGGGCUCAACCCAGGGCCUGCAUCGGAAACUGUCGGGCUUGAGUAUGGGAGAGGUGAGUGGAAUUUCCGGUGUAGCGGUGAAAUGCGUAGAUAUCGGAAGGAACACCUGUGGCGAAAGCGGCUCACUGGACCAUUACUGACGCUGAGACACGAAAGCUAGGGGAGCAAACAGG
rnacentral:rRNA from 1 species